rnacentral:ncRNA from 1 species
UAUUAUAUGAUAGGGGUUGAUGUGCUAAUAAUCACCUAACCUAGACCUUGAAUCUACACCCCCUAACCUUCUAAAUCAUCGAUCCAUAACCCACAAACCUUCUAAAGGCGUCAUGUGAUUUAAUCCCAUUGCUCUGCAUGUCAAAGUGAAUAAAUUCAACCAAGUGCGGGUAAACAACGAGAGUAACUAUGACUAUCUUAAGGUAUCCAUAUGCCUCGUCAUCUAAUUAGUGACGCACAUGAAUGGAUCAUUAACGAGAUUCCCCACUGUCCCUGGCUACUAUAUUAUAGAGAAACCACAUCCAAGGGAAUGGGCUUGGAAUAAUUAGCAGGGAAAGAACACCCUCAUGUUGAGCUUGAAUCUAGUCCUAAUCCAUUCAUAGUUUGGGA